rnacentral:rRNA from 1 species
ACAUGUCUUUAUGAUUAUAAUUUAAAGUCAAAUCUGCUCCAUGAUUAAAUUUAUUAAAUAGCUGCAGUAUCUUGACUGUACAAAGGUAGCAUAAUCAAUAGUUUUUUAAUUAAAAGCUGGAAUGAAGGAUUUAAUAAGGUAAAUAUUGUCUCAAUUUUAAUAAAAUUAUAAUUUUUUUUUUAGUAAAAAUACUAAAUUGAAUUUAAAAGACGAGAAGACCCUAUAGAUUUUUAUAUUUUUUAUUUUAAUUAAUUUAAAAAAAAAUUUUAUUUAAAUUAAAAAUUAUUUGGUUGGGGAAAUUAUUAAAUUAAUUAAAUUUUAAUUAUUUAUUAACAAAAAUUAUUGAAUUAAUGAUCUUGAGAUUUUGAAUUAGAAGAAUAAAUUACCUUAGGGAUAACAGCGUAAUUUUUUUUGAGAGAUCAUAUUGAUAAAAAAGUUUGCGACCUCGAUGUUGAAUUAAGAUAAAAUUUUAAUGGAGAAGUUAAAAAUUUUUGGUCUGUUCGACCAUUAAAAUCUUACGU